UUGAGUUGGUGAGUGACAGGUGUGUGAUAAUAUAAUUAUAAUAAUAAUGUUACUUAGUUCUACAAGGCCCCAAUUUUUUUCAGAGUUCAUUAAUGCUAAGAAAAUAAAUCAUUUACAUAAUUUUAAUGAAUGAUGUGUGAGUACAUUUAUGACAAGGUUCUGAAUAAUAUUAAAAAACAGGUAAUUUUCAGACAACCUUACACUCUGGAGGGUCACACUAGAACUGGAUGUCACCAAACAAUGUCAGGUAAUUUUCAAAAUGUCACUUCAAUUAAAAAUUAACUAAUGUAUAGCAGCACUGAUAGUGAAUGUCUCCCUUGGGAACAUUACAGAGCACCGGAAACCCAACAAGAUGACUUUGAUGGGACAGCUGAUGGACAGUGACCUACAGCUGCUUAAUUAAUUUGGAUUUAUUCAUAAACUAUUCGGAGAGAAAUCUAAUGACAAAAUACUAAUAACCCAAUGCUGCUUAGUUAGUUAUAAUAUACUUAUAAACUAAUUGGACAGGAAUCUAUUGCUGCUUAAAUAAUAACCUAACACCGUUAAAACAGUAGUUGGUGAAUUUCCAGAACGUCACCCGCGGGACACUGGUGGACGAAAGUUGGAAAGUUUCGUUUAGUCGGCGCAACAUUUGUGGUCAUAUGCCAGAGAGAGACAGAAGAAGGAAAAGGAAUUAUAGGAGGAGGGAACAGAUCCCAGGAGAUGGGACACAACCCCCGAUUAAUACCUGGUACCCAUUCACUGCUGGGUGGACAGGGGCAUAGGGUAUCGGAAAAGCCGCCUAAAUUUUUCCACCCCACCCGGGAAUCGAACCCGGGUUCUCUCGGUUGUGAGUCGAGUGUGCUAGCCACUGCACCAUGAAGCCCCCUGUCUGUUUGACGAAACUAUUUUCUUUUCUGGAAGUUUUCGGUGUUAUGAAAUAAUCUUCUAACUGUUUCUCCUGCGCUGCGUAUUUCUGCCGCCCUACACUGCAUGCCUAGUAAAUCUAAACUAACCAAACCUAACUUAACGUCCCGCAUAGUGAUUCUCCUUAUUUACCGUGUGUUGUAUGGACACAAAAUACUACAUAUAGCACCAAGGUGUUCUUUGCUGUGAGACGGGUGACGUUCUGUAAUAAUACCCAGUAAUCUAUCGCUGCCAACACAGUAACGCCUUGCCACUAAAAUUGUAACCUCUGAUGCAACCCAGCCAAGCCAUGUCCCAAAACCCAGCCAUUGCAAUAACCUUUCAAUCUUUCCUUCCCGCUAGCCUUAAGGUAACACACUCAAUAGCCUUCUCUCCCCAUUAAGGUAACACACUCAAUAGCCUUCUCUCCCCAUUAAGGUAACACACUCAAUAGCCUUCUCUCCCCAUUAAGGUAACACACUCAAUAGCCUUCUCUCCCCAUUAAGGUAACACACUCAAUAGCCUUCUCUCCCCAUUAAGGUAACACACUCAAUAGCCUUCUCUCCCCAUUAAGGUAACACACUCAAUAGCCUUCUCUCCCCAUUAAGGUAACACACUCAAUAGCCUUCUCUCCCCAUUAAGGUAACACACUCAAUAGCCUUCUCUCCCCAUUAAGGUAACACACUCAAUAGCCUUCUCUCCCCAUUAAGGUAACAUACUCAAUAGCCUUCUCUCCCCAUUAAGGUAACACACUCAAUAGCCUUCUCUCCCCAUUAAGGUAACAUACUCAAUAGCCUUCUCUCCCCAUUAAGGUAACACACUCAAUAGCCUUCUCUCCCAAUUAAUAUCACAAGCACAAUUUCUAUACACCUUCACCCACAGAACUUCACUUUUCCCUCCCCGGCUUGACACAACACCCC